rnacentral:rRNA from 1 species
CCUACGGGAGGCAGCAGUGAGGAAUAUUGGUCAAUGGGCUUACGCCUGAACCAGCCAAGUCGCGUGAGGGAAGACUGCCCUCUGGGUUGUAAACCUCUUUUGUCAGGGAGCAAUUGGCGCUACGUGUAGCGUUAUCGAGAGUACCUGAAGUAAACGCAUCGGCUAACUCCGUGCCAGCAGCCGCGGUACUACGGAGGAUGCGAGCGUUAUCCGGAUUUAUUGGGAUUAAAGGGUGCGUAGGCGGAAUACCAAGUCAGCGGUAAAAUCGCGGGGCUCAACCUCGCUCCGCCGUUGAAACUGGCGUACUUGAGUGGGCGAGAAGGAUGGGGAAGGCGUGGUGGAGCGGUGAAAUG